CUCAACCAUAGAUUUUAAAAAAUCAAUGGUUAGAUUUACGUGAAACCCUUUCACUCUCACUCUCACUCUCACUUUACCACUCUCACUCUAUUCUCACGGGCUCACGGUGCCUCUCAGAUCUCCCUCUCCGUGACAUUCAUUCUCACGGGCUCACGGCGCCUCUGUCUCCCUCAUACAUUCAUUCACGGCGCCUCUGUCUCCCUCAUACAUUCAUUCACGGCUGCCAGAAUACCAAACCUUGAAGCUGUCCUGAUAUCCUCUCUCUCAUCGAUGUUGUUGCUGCCCUAAAUCUCCAAAUUCAGCAAUGGAGCAAGGGUAUGGAAAUUAUGCUGCUCUAUUCUGCUGCUGUUCUAUUCUUCUGUUCUGCCAUGUCUGCUGCUCUUCUAUUCUGCUGACUGUUCUUUGCUGUUUUGAUGUCUAUUGACUGCUGCUCUUCUGUUCUGCUGCUGCUAUUCUGCCAUGUUUGCUGUUCUGCCAUUCUGCUGUGUCUGCUAACUGCUGUAAUGUUCCUGUGGAAAAAAAUUGCUAAUGGACUUUGCUUGGUUUUGGGAUUGUUAUAUUGAAGUGUUGUGUAUUGAAGAAUGAAUUCAUAGUUUUUGUUUGAGCUUGAAGAAAUGACUUGACACUCUACUGUUUUAGUUAUCUCAGCAAAUUUGCUGAGCUUAAGGAUGUUGAUUCAAUGCUUCCGUUAUAAUGAUGUAUUAUUCUCAAUCCGUGGACUUGAUUUAUGUAUUUACGGAAGUUUGUUAUUUCAUAGUUCUUAUCUCA